rnacentral:rRNA from 1 species
UUAAGCGACUAAGCGUACACGGUGGAUGCCCUGGCAGUCAGAGGCGAUGAAGGACGUGCUAAUCUGCGAUAAGCGUCGGUAAGGUGAUAUGAACCGUUAUAACCGGCGAUUUCCGAAUGGGGAAACCCAGUGUGAUUCGUCACACUAUCAUUAACUGAAUCCAUAGGUUAAUGAGGCGAACCGGGGGAACUGAAACAUCUAAGUACCCCGAGGAAAAGAAAUCAACCGAGAUUCCCCCAGUAGCGGCGAGCGAACGGGGAGCAGCCCAGAGCCUGAAUCAGUGUGUGUGUUAGUGGAAGCGUCUGGAAAGGCGUGCGAUACAGGGUGACAGCCCCGUACACAAAAAUGCACAUAUUGUGAGCUCGAUGAGUAGGGCGGGACACGUGGUAUCCUGUCUGAAUAUGGGGGGACCAUCCUCCAAGGCUAAAUACUCCUGACUGACCGAUAGUGAACCAGUACCGUGAGGGAAAGGCGAAAAGAACCCCGGCGAGGGGAGUGAAAAAGAACCUGAAACCGUGUACGUACAAGCAGUGGGAGCCUCUUUAAUGGGGUGACUGCGUACCUUUUGUAUAAUGGGUCAGCGACUUAUAUUCUGUAGCAAGGUUAACCGAAUAGGGGAGCCGAAGGGAAACCGAGUCUUAACUGGGCGUUAAGUUGCAGGGUAUAGACCCGAAACCCGGUGAUCUAGCCAUGGGCAGGUUGAAGGUUGGGUAACACUAACUGGAGGACCGAACCGACUAAUGUUGAAAAAUUAGCGGAUGACUUGUGGCUGGGGGUGAAAGGCCAAUCAAACCGGGAGAUAGCUGGUUCUCCCCGAAAGCUAUUUAGGUAGCGCCUCGUGAAUUCAUCUCCGGGGGUAGAGCACUGUUUCGGCAAGGGGGUCAUCCCGACUUACCAACCCGAUGCAAACUGCGAAUACCGGAGAAUGUUAUCACGGGAGACACACGGCGGGUGCUAACGUCCGUCGUGAAGAGGGAAACAACCCAGACCGCCAGCUAAGGUCCCAAAGUCAUGGUUAAGUGGGAAACGAUGUGGGAAGGCCCAGACAGCCAGGAUGUUGGCUUAGAAGCAGCCAUCAUUUAAAGAAAGCGUAAUAGCUCACUGGUCGAGUCGGCCUGCGCGGAAGAUGUAACGGGGCUAAACCAUGCACCGAAGCUGCGGCAGCGACGCUGAUGCGUUGUUGGGUAGGGGAGCGUUCUGUAAGCCUGCGAAGGUGUGCUGUGAGGCAUGCUGGAGGUAUCAGAAGUGCGAAUGCUGACAUAAGUAACGAUAAAGCGGGUGAAAAGCCCGCUCGCCGGAAGACCAAGGGUUCCUGUCCAACGUUAAUCGGGGCAGGGUGAGUCGACCCCUAAGGCGAGGCCGAAAGGCGUAGUCGAUGGGAAACAGGUUAAUAUUCCUGUACUUGGUGUUACUGCGAAGGGGGGACGGAGAAGGCUAUGUUGGCCGGGCGACGGUUGUCCCGGUUUAAGCGUGUAGGCUGGUUUUCCAGGCAAAUCCGGAAAAUCAAGGCUGAGGCGUGAUGACGAGGCACUACGGUGCUGAAGCAACAAAUGCCCUGCUUCCAGGAAAAGCCUCUAAGCAUCAGGUAACAUCAAAUCGUACCCCAAACCGACACAGGUGGUCAGGUAGAGAAUACCAAGGCGCUUGAGAGAACUCGGGUGAAGGAACUAGGCAAAAUGGUGCCGUAACUUCGGGAGAAGGCACGCUGAUAUGUAGGUGAAGCGACUUGCUCGUGGAGCUGAAAUCAGUCGAAGAUACCAGCUGGCUGCAACUGUUUAUUAAAAACACAGCACUGUGCAAACACGAAAGUGGACGUAUACGGUGUGACGCCUGCCCGGUGCCGGAAGGUUAAUUGAUGGGGUUAUCCGUAAGGAGAAGCUCUUGAUCGAAGCCCCGGUAAACGGCGGCCGUAACUAUAACGGUCCUAAGGUAGCGAAAUUCCUUGUCGGGU